AGACAUGUCUAUACUCUGUUUUUUAACUCCUACUUACACUUUUAAAAUUGAUAAAACAUUAUUUUAAUUGCACAACUAAGAGGAGUCAAAUGUAAGAAAUCAGAAGAUGGACAAGAAAAAGAAACAUUAAAAACUAUUAAUAAUUCCAACACCCAGAGAAAAUCAAGAUUAAAAUUUGGUUGUAGUUUUAGGAGAAAAUCAAGGUUAAUGCAGGUGUUUUAUUCACCUUGUUGGACUGCAAAGUUCCAGUGACCCAUCACCCAUCAGAUCCUAGCUUUCAAUCCACCCCUCCAUGGAUACUGCUCAGGAUUAAGUAGCUAACAACCUCCAUGCUAUCACAUCCAAAGGCAACCUCUGUCUGCUUCAGACAGGCAAACAAAGAGAGAAAAAUGCUGAUUCUUCCUCAUCUUUUCAUAGCCACGGACACCUGGAAAUAAGACACAGCCUUUCUGAUCAAGGAAGGCAAAGCCCCACUCAUCACAUUACCUCUGGGACACAAUGCUUUAUAACAGAGCUUGUGAAAUUACCCAUGUGCUUGCUUUGUCCCUGUCCAAUUUCCCUAUCUCCCAAGGCUACUUGAUAGAGAGUUCUUUGCCUGGAAUAUCCAAAGCACAGAGAACAGGUAAAUUAUGCUGGCAAAAUAUUGUUUGAGAAGGACUUGAU